UGGGGAAUAUUGGGCAAUGGGCGAAAGCCUGACCCAGCAACGCCGCGUGAAGGAAGAAGGCCCUCGGGUUGUAAACUUCUUUGACGAGGGAAGAAAUAAAUGACGGUACCUCGAAAACAAGCCACGGCUAACUACGUGCCAGCAGCCGCGGUAAUACGUAGGUGGCAAGCGUUGUCCGGAUUUACUGGGUGUAAAGGGCGUGUAGGCGGGUCUGCAAGUCAGAUGUGAAAUGCCGGGGCUUAACCCCGGAGCUGCAUUUGAAACUGCAGGUCUUGAGUGAUGGAGAGGCAGGCGGAAUUCCUAGUGUAGCGGUGAAAUGCGUAGAUAUUAGGAGGAACACCAGUGGCGAAGGCGGCCUGCUGGACAUUAACUGACGCUGAUGCGCGAAAGCGUGGGGAGCAAACAGG
rnacentral:rRNA from 2 species